UUUUUUUAAAAAAAUUUUUUUCCAGAGGAAAGUGUUUUGUGAAGAAGCAACAUGCCACAAUGGGGAAAGCAUAAACUUUGGAGUCAUUCAAACCUGGUUUCAAAAGCCUGAUUCUGGAACUGGUCCUCUGACCUUGGGAAAUUAAUAUAGAGUUGUAGAGAUUAAGUGAUAAACAUAGAUUGCAGCUCCCCUCCCUCUCCUUUUGUUCCUCGAUCUUCCCUAUCUUGUCCUCUGCUCUUAUCUCAGUCUGUAUUUUUGUAACCUUUAGCAUAACAGUAGUAAGUAACAUUUUUAAAUUUUGUUUUAUGUGUCCAGUCCUUCUUCCCUGACUAUAAGGUACACAAGAACAGGGAUUGUUUCUUCCAGAUGCCUGGCACUUAGUGGGUAUUAAUGAGUAUUGGAUAAAUGAAUGGCAAAUGCCUGAUUCAUUGUUAGUGGAGUUUCACUUCCCCUCAUUGAGUGGAAAAAUGUUCAAUUUUUUUUUCCUUAUAUACACACUUUUUUUUUUUUUCACAAGAAGUCUCAUUUUAAGCCUCACUAAAAUUUUUGUCAAUUGCCUACAGAAAUCAAACAACCUCCAAUUUGUUGUGGAAGUACUCCAGUGUUUUUUGUUUUGUUUUCGCAGUAACUGAGGAUUGAACCCAGGGCCACUAUACCACUGAGCUACAUCCAGCCCUUUUUUAUUUUUGAUUUUAAAACAGGUUCUCACCGUACCUGGUAGAAAUUUCUCCUUUUGAAAUUGUACCACACACAAUAAAGGUUAAUAACAGUUAAAGCUAACUUUUGUUCUCUCAGGCAUCUCUUCCAGGAUGGGUUCAUAGUGCUUUCUACCAAUGAAAUCCUGCACUGGAUUAAUAGGAAAUGCAGCUGUGCUAGUUUGUUGUUUCUUUAUGUAGGAGUUUAGUUCUUGACGUUUGUCAUUAGUGUUUUCUUUUAAAAUUAAAUAAAUAUAAAUAUUUG
rnacentral:lncRNA from 1 species